CCGUGGAUAUUUUGGUUGAAG
rnacentral:sRNA from 1 species